AACGAACGCUGGCGGCAGGCUUAACACAUGCAAGUCGAGCGCCCCGCAAGGGGAGCGGCAGACGGGUGAGUAACGCGUGGGAACGUACCUUUUGGUUCGGAACAACUCCGGGAAACUGGAGCUAAUACCGGAUAAGCCCUAACGGGGAAAGAUUUAUCGCCGAAAGAUCGGCCCGCGCCUGAUUAGCUAGUUGGUGAGGUAACGGCUCACCAAGGCGACGAUCAGUAGCUGGUCUGAGAGGAUGAUCAGCCACACUGGGACUGAGACACGGCCCAGACUCCUACGGGAGGCAGCAGUGGGGAAUAUUGGACAAUGGGCGCAAGCCUGAUCCAGCCAUGCCGCGUGAGUGAUGAAGGCCUUAGGGUUGUAAAGCUCUUUUGUCCGGGAAGAUAAUGACUGUACCGGAAGAAUAAGCCCCGGCUAACUUCGUG
rnacentral:rRNA from 1 species